AUCGCUUCUCGACCUUUUAGCUAAGAUCAAGUGUAGUAUCUGUUCUUAUCAGUUUAAUAUCUGAUAUGUCCUUUAUUUGAGGACUAUAUAUUAAAUGGAUUUUUGGAGCUGGGAGAUGGAAUAGGGGUUUGCUCCAUCCACUCCAUACAUCGACCUGGUAUUGCAGUACCUCCAGGAACAGUUCACCCAAA
rnacentral:snRNA from 1 species